rnacentral:rRNA from 1 species
CAGCAGCCGCGGUAAUACGAAGGGGGCUAGCGUUGCUCGGAAUUACUGGGCGUAAAGGGCGCGUAGGCGGACAGUUAAGUCGGGGGUGAAAGCCCGGGGCUCAACCUCGGAAUUGCCUUCGAAACUGGCUGUCUUGAGUACGGGAGAGGUGAGUGGAACUCCGAGUGUAGAGGCGAAAUUCGUAGAUAUUCGGAAGAACACCAGUGGCGAAGGCGACUCACUGGCCCGUUACUGACGCUGAGGCGCGAAAGCGUGGGGAGCAAACAGGAUUAGAUACCCCCGUAGUCCCUGUCUCUUAUAC